rnacentral:rRNA from 1 species
AUUGAACGCUGGCGGCAGGCCUAACACAUGCAAGUCGAGCGGAUGAAGGGAGCUUGCUCCUGGAUUCAGCGGCGGACGGGUGAGUAAUGCCUAGGAAUCUGCCUGGUAGUGGGGGAUAACGUCCGGAAACGGGCGCUAAUACCGCAUACGUCCUGAGGGAGAAAGUGGGGGAUCUUCGGACCUCACGCUAUCAGAUGAGCCUAGGUCGGAUUAGCUAGUUGGUGGGGUAAAGGCCUACCAAGGCGACGAUCCGUAACUGGUCUAAGAGGAUGAUCAGUCACACUGGAACUGAGACACGGUCCAGACUCCUACGGGAGGCAGCAGUGGGGAAUAUUGGACAAUGGGCGAAAGCCUGAUCCAGCCAUGCCGCGUGUGUGAAGAAGGUCUUCGGAUUGUAAAGCACUUUAAGUUGGGAGGAAGGGCAGUAAGUUAAUACCUUGCUGUUUUGACGUUACCAACAGAAUAAGCACCGGCUAACUUCGUG